GCAGUCGGGUAGGCAGUUUUACUGUUUCAGACGGCUGGAUUUAGGACCAGACAGACACCACAGACCGCACAGACAGGCUGUGUGAAGGCAAAGCUUCUGAAAGGCUGGCGUAGGAAAGAUGAACAGAGGUAGCUGCUGUCUGUAUUGCGCUUUUUCUCCGAGUUGUAGCAGAAACUGGCUACUCUUUAUUUGACUGAUCUAGCUGGCAAGGAUCAGAUGGUGACAGGGGUCCAUGCAGGGUCAGACAGACAGGGAAGUCCAGUCUACAGAGCUCAGGAUCAGAUGUUGACAGGGGUCUCAUCAGGGUCAGGCAGCCAGGGAAGACCAGUCUGUGACGGAGCUGAGGUGAAUUUCCUCUGUGCAGUGAACACUGGACAAGCAAGAAGCUUAAAAGAUUUCAACUAUUUUAAGGCAGUCUGACUAACCUCUAAAGUUGAUUUUCUGUCACGUAUACUCCAUCUCUGUUGCUCGAGGUCAUCAGGCUGCUCAUUAUUACUGUCACGCCCUGACCUUAGAGAUCCUUAUUAUUCUCUAUGUUAGGUCAGGGUUUGACUCG